AACUAACGCUGGCGGCGUGCCUAACACAUGCAAGUCGUACGAGAAAGUUUGCUUCGGCAAAUUAGUAAAGUGGCGCACGGGUGAGUAACGCGUGGAUAAUCUGCCCUUCAGCGGGGAAUAACCCGUCGAAAGGUGGGCUAAUACCUCAUAACACUAUUUCUGCUUCGGCGGGAUAGUCAAAGGCGGCCUCUGUUUACAAGCUGUCACUGAAGGAUGAGUCCGCGUACCAUUAGCUAGUUGGUAGGGUAAUGGCCUACCAAGGCUGCGAUGGUUAGCUGGUCUGAGAGGAUGAUCAGCCACACUGGAACUGAGACACGGUCCAGACUCCUACGGGAGGCAGCAGUGAGGAAUCUUGCGCAAUGGGGGCAACCCUGACGCAGCAACGCCGCGUGAGUGAGGAAGGUCUUCGGAUCGUAAAGCUCUGUCGGGUGGGAAGAAACGUAUGGAGGUUAACAGCCUUCAUGCUUGACGGUACCACCAAAGGAAGCACCGGCUAACUCCGUGCCAGCAGCCGCCGUAACAC
rnacentral:rRNA from 1 species